rnacentral:rRNA from 1 species
AACGAACGCUGGCGGCGCGCUUAAUACAUGCAAGUCGAACGAGAAGGUGUAGCAAUACACUUGUAAAGUGGCGAACGGGUGAGGAAUACAUGGGUAACCUACCCUCGAGUGGGGAACAACCAGCCGAAAGGUUGGCUAAUACCGCGUACGCUUCCGGGUCUUCGGAUUCGGAAGGAAAGUCAUACCGUGGGUAUGACGCUCAAGGAUGGGCUCAUGUCCUAUCAGCUUGUUGGUAGGGGUAACGGCCUACCAAGGCUCCGACGGGUAGCUGGUCUGAGAGGACGAUCAGCCACACUGGCACUGCGACACGGGCCAGACUCCUACGGGAGGCAGCAGUAAGGAAUAUUGCGCAAUGGGCGAAAGCCUGACGCAGCGACG